UCAGCCACUUCACUCCAGCCUGGGCAACAGAGCGAGAGACUCCGUUUCAAAAAAAAAAAGAGACAAAUACAACUUCUGUUGUCAUCCUUUACUGGGGAAGCAGAUGGUAAAAAAUAAAAAUGAACAGAGGUAGGCACACAUGAAAUUAGUUGCUGUGUAGAAGGAAUAGGAAAGACGAAAAUUGGAGGAAUCAGACAGGGUGCUAUUAUAAUUAGGGUGACCAUGUAAUUUAUCUUUUGAACUAGGAUAAUUUUUUAAAAACUUUUAAUUUUGAGAUAAUUGUAGAUUCACACACUGUUGCAAGAAUUAACACAGACAGAAUUCCAUAUGCCCUCACCCACUUUCCCCAGCAGAAGUAUUUAGCAUAACUCGUCCACUACCACAGCCAGAUAACACAUUGAUGCACUCCCAGCCCCGCUCAGAACUUACCAGUUUCACAUCAAACCGUGAUGACUUUGUGACAGAUGUGGACAGUGACUGCCCACGGUCUCCCGUGCUUUUUCUAGGAACCUACAGAACCUGUUCAGGGAGAUAGAAAGAAAAACGGGACACAAGACAGUUCUUGCCGUGAGGACUUUCUGUCUACUGGAGGCACACCUCAGAAUUCAGACAAUUCUAUGCAAAGUGGAAUGCGUGAAGUGAAUGACAGAGUACUAGCAUGCAGACAGCAUUAACCUCCACUUGAGAGGCCGGGGACAGUGUCAUGUUGGACAAGACAGCCGAGUUCGUCCUUGGCCCCUGGGUGGCUGCCUCUUGCCGUUCCUGGCAUAGGUUAGUGGCUAGAAGCCAAACUGUCUGGGCUGACAUCUUGCCUCUCUCCUCACUGCCUGUGUAACUGUGGGCAGGGCGCUUGACCUCGAGCCUCCAUUUCUCUUCUGUAAGAAUGAAGGAGUAACAGCGCCUAGCUUGUGGAGGGUGGGGAGGGCUGCCCGAAACACACAUACAGAGAGUUCAGAACGCAUGCGGCCUUGAGGGCAUGUGGAUAAAUGGCUACUUUGCUAUCACCCACAGGGAGAAGAUGCUUCAUAUGCAUUCACUGACUGGGUAUGAAAGUGGAGAACCCGGCUAGCCAUCCGGUGGGAGCGAAUGGAAUAUUUAACUUGGGGCCGAGUUGGGCCUACACAGAAGACAGGUUGCAUGCGUCGUGUGGAGCUGGGGAGGAAGGCUGUGGCUGGAGAUGCAAUUCUGCAGGGUUACUGGUGAGGAUGGGACAGUGUGAACCUCGGGGAUUCAGGUGACCAAGUCAAGUCAGGUGAGAAGAGAAUUCAGGACGGGGCGACAGGCUCUGCUCUUCUGGGAGUUAAGAAGGUCCAGCAAGGGCUGAUACUGUCCAGGUGGGUUCUCUGGGAAGCGGCUCUGAAACAGGCUGGUGCUCAGCAAGGGGAAGAGCACUGUGGGCCGGGGACGCUGGGCCACCUGCCAUCUCCACGGUGGCCUCCGCCCAUCCCUGCAGAGUGCCGUGGUGUGGAUGGCCUUUAGAACUGUCCUGGCCAUGGUGAGGGGGCCUGGCCCUCACACGGCCAAGACAACAGAUGGUUGGAUGGGGGCUGUCCCUGGAAGGAGGGGUGAUGGGGGAGUGAGGUCCUCUCUCCGGAGGGCAAGGCUGGUGUGCACUGAAUAUCUUUCACAUGGGAAUGUGGCUGACUGCUGUGGGGUCUCCAGGAGGGGUGAAGGCAGGAGAAGGGCCUGGCAGUGAGGAGCAUGAGGGUCUAGGAGCAAUUGGCCAUGGGGUUUAGGGAUCUAAGCCUUUGGUGGUGCCCGGGAGACUGGGAGCACGCGAGGACAUUUCCUUGUCAGUACACGAGGUGAGGAGGUGGAGGCAGAACCGUGAAGCGCCUGCGGCAAGGAGCCACGUGGCCCAAGGAGGCCUGGCUGGUGGAGUAGGAAUUGGUGGGAGCGGCAAGGAGCCACGUGGCCCAAGGAGGCCUGGCUGGUGGAGUAGGAAUUGGUGGGAGGGUUUGCUGGGACCGGCACACAGGGCUGCGCUGCCCUCACUGCGGGGUGAGGCUUUUGCCCUGAGGCUUCUCUGUGCAGCCGGAAGGUGCACCCAGGCCUUCGCUUCCUGGAGCUGCCACCUCUCCUGCAGCUUAGGUGUCCGGGCUCCGUGCCGUGCUGGCGAGAUCCUUGGCAUUGGGAACAUAGUCUGUGCUGGGGCUGGAUUCUGAGCAGCAGGGACUGGGCCUAAUCAGCUUCCCUGUUGCUUUCCAGAGCCCUCAAGGGCAGGGUGUGAGGCAUCCAGGAAAAGAGAAGGCAGUUCCACCGACUGGAGAGCCUGCACCGCUACAACGGAGAGCCAAGGGGGCCUUCAGGACUCAAACAGGGAGGCAAACGUGGAUCCCUUAACUGCUCGCUGGAGAACCCAAAGGCUUCGCUCACAGCAGAGAAGCCUGUGCGUAGCUGGGCUGAGCUUUGGCGCCACAGUCCGGUGUCUGAAGCCUGGAGCGGCCUGAGGGCACUUCUGAUCUCCUCACAGGCCUCAGUUUCCUCUUCAGUGAAACCAGGGUGGAUAAGAAUGGUGCCACCUGCAGAGAUGUUGGGCUCAGAGAUGAGCAAGAUCAUGGAAGCAGAGCAUUAGCCCCUAGGCUGUUGGGUGCGUGUUUGCUGCUGUUACAACGGUUGCAGGGCCUGGCACAGGUAGGGUUAGUAAGUCCACCUGGCUGCCCACCAGCGCCUCGGAAAGUGCUGGCCCAGGACAAUCGCAUCCCGCUGAGACCCUCCCGCCAGCUCUGGGGCCCAGAGGCUCAGCAAGUGGGCUUCAGGCUCUGCCCAGGGCUGCGGUCGUGCUCAGGGUGCAAAGACCUGUCCUCAGGAAGCCCGAGACUUACAGGAAGGUGCGAGGUGAAAACCCCUUCAGUUUCCACAGGGCCUUCGUCCCAAAGAUCGCCCUCGAAUCAACUCUUCAACUUCCAGCACCCAGGGGUGCUGCCAGGUCGGUCAUUCUCGCCUCGCUGCAGGCCGAGGGCCAGAGCUGCUGGACCGUGGGUGAGAUGCGAGCAGCCCGGAAGUCACACCCCUGUCCCCUCCCCAGCACCCCCCGACGGUGACACAGUGCCCCGCGUGCCCCGGAAACCUGCUGGAUCUUUUCACGUGCCUGAAAGGCUCACCUCGCUCCCAGGGAAAAAUUGUGAGCCAGGUACACUCUGGCAGGGAGAAAACAAAUCCUUCUGAACUUUGAUGCCCUUGUUUGUUGAUCACAACUGUCAUGCAUGCUGUGGGUUUAAGCAAUCCCACUGUAAAAAACCCAUUGCAUAUUUACUGAUGGGUGUGGGAGGCACUGUGCAGGGAGGCCUGGCUCCUGGAGGCUGGCUGUGGAAUUACUGUGGAAGGAACUGGAGUUAAUAGUUCUUACCUGUGACUUUUAAACAAAGGCCGUCAGAGAAAGGGAAGAAAGAGAUUUCAUGGAAUAAAGGAGCAAUAUUAUUUUCCAAGUCAUGCUGUGAGCUAAGAAAAUUCUGUUUUCUAUAACGUAACUCUUCAUGACAUGCAGGUGUAAGGAUGACAUGCCAAAUAUAAACACCGUGAUGAAAAUGAGAUAUUCCUCCACAUGCAUGCGUUACAUUUUGUGAAUUUUACAGUAUGUGUUUUCUUCUUUGUAUUUAUAGUUCUUCAAUAAUUAUUACCUCACUAAAGGAUGUGAAUUACAUAAAAGUUGGAACCUGAUUUCUAAUUUUUUUCAGCUUACUUCUUGUAUUUAGGAGAAAUGUUUUUGUGUUUUGCCACUGAGGCGUCCUCCAGAAAUGAGCUGCCCUGCUCGCUCCCCAGAGGAGACUGCGACCCGCCCGGCCAGAUCACCAGCUGCUGUGGUCCCGCCCGGCCAGAUCACCGGCUACUUUGGUCCCGCCCAGCCAGAUCACCGGACUACGUCCCGCCCGGCCAGAUCACCGGACUGCUUCCCACCCGGCCAGAUCACCGGCUGCUGUGGUCCCGCCCGGCCAGAUCACCGGGCUGCUGUGGUCCCACCUGGCCAGAUCACCGGGCUGCUUCCCACCCGGCCAGAUCACCGGACUGCUUCCCACCCGGCCAGAUCACCGGCUGCUGUGGUCCCGCCCGGCCAGAUCACUGGUUACUGUGGUCCCUUUGUGCAAGCGCCCUGGGCCCAGAGCCCAGCAGGGGUCCGAGAAGCUGUGCAGCCAUAGACCAGGCCUGGAAGGCAAAGAGCCAGGAAAAUGUUUUAGGCUCAUUUUGGUUUCAAAAUUAAGUUUUGAGAUUCUUUUAACUAUCAGACAUUUCGCCUAAAUUUCAUGUUAACAAUGUUUUAGGACUCGAUUCUAAAGCCACACAGGUACAAAUACCAAGUAACUCAGGCACAUGGUUGCUCAUCGUGGCCUCAUUUGUAGACGCAAAAGCUGUUUGUGAGCAGGGGUCUGGCUGGGUGAACCACAGUCCACCCACAGUGGGGCUGAGGCCCCGAGGAGGGCCAGGCACUACCAUGCAAGGAUGAAAAGGGAGAGCUCAAAAUGUGGCUAAGUGGGAGAUCAAGAUGCAGAGGUGUGUGUAUUCGAUGCUCACUUUUGCUAAGAAAGGUAGAGAAACAUGAGUAUGUUCUAGCAACUUGCUUGUAUUCAUAAAAACGAACAUUGGACGAUAAACCAAAAUCUGCCCGGAAGGGAAGGGACAGAGUGAAGAGGACAAGGAUGUGAGAUGGAGGCUUCUUUCAAUAGAGCGUGCAAUGGGAUUUUGACUUUGGGGUCAGGUAAGUACCAUAUUUUUGUAAAAAAUACUAAAAGCAAUAACAAUUCUUAAACAUUAAAAAGAAACUGAAAUGAA